rnacentral:rRNA from 1 species
UGGGGGAUAUUGCACAAUGGGCGAAAGCCUGAUGCAGCGACGCCGCGUGGGGGAUGAAGGCCUUCGGGUUGUAAACUUCUUUUGCUCUGAACAAGGCGCACCAUGGGGUGUGUUGAGUGUAGGGGUUGAUUAGCGCCGGCUAACUACGUGCCAGCAGCCGCGGUAAUACGUAGGGCGCGAGCGUUGUCCGGAAUUAUUGGGCGUAAAGGGCUUGUAGGUGGCUGGUUGCGUCUGUCGUGAAAGCUCAUGGCUUAACUGUGGGUUUGCGGUGGGUACGGGCUGGCUUGAGUGCAGUAGGGGAGGCUGGAAUUCCUGGUGUAGCGGUGGAAUGCGCAGAUAUCAGGAGGAAUACCGGUGGCGAAGGCGGGUCUCUGGGCUGUUACUGACAGUGAGGAGCGAAAGCAUGGGGAGCGAACAGG